CGUUGUGAAGCUGGACACGUGAAGGCUGAGCUGUUAGAUGCAUCGCUGCUGGAACAAUUGGAUUUAGACCGUGAAUGCAGCUGCACCUCCUUAAGCCCGUGCACUGGCCGAGACAGCCCAAAUGUGUUGCUUUUGUGUGCUGGAUGUUUCUAGCUGGACUAGGUGCGCGCUGCUGCAGCCCUUAAAACGAAGAUGUUCCUCUCCUUAACGUGCUG
rnacentral:lncRNA from 1 species